GCAGGACCGGGCAGGGCUGUGCAAUCAGCGUUCCUGCUGGGACCUUUAGCUGAUUGGGCCAAAGGGGGCAGGGAGGUGGUCCCAGUAGGGGGAUUCAGGGAAGCACCCAGAGAUGGGGCCACAGCCAGGCCAGAAGGUCACCCCCUCCCAUGCACAUCUGUGCACCAUAUGCCCACACCACUCCCAGCCCCAGGGCCUGCACACCUCCCCCGACCUGCCAGCGUACAACCUUGGCACACACAGGUGGCCACACACUCCCGACAUUUGUCCAUCUGCAUAUGGAGUCACAGACACCUGCGCACGUGCCCAGUGGCACAUACACACCCUCAUGGAUAGCAGACAUAUGCACACGCAGGCUGCUCCCUCAAACACCUGCCCCCACCCCAGCUCUGGGGUGCCGACGUGCCCUGGGGCCUGGGGAAGCCCUGCACAUACAUUAGGUCUGAGCUGCAGCCAUGUGAACUGGCAGGCCCUCACACCAGACCCCACAGGCACCGGGCCAUGUCUCUGUCCCGAACUGCCCUGGGGGCCAUGAGACACUUUGGCUCCUCUUCUGCAAGCUGAAAGCCUCAGUUUCCCCACCUUGGAUCCUCCUGGCACGGAAACGGUGACUCUUCUUGAGGACCCAGGUGCUUGGGGCCAGUCUCACCUCUCUGGGUCUACAGUUCUUAGUUCCGGGCUCUCCGCUCCUGGUGCGUGGAUGGGGGAAGGUGAGCCAAGGGGCAGGAAGGAGGACCCCCGCAACCCACCCCCUCCCUGGUCCUGGUGGCUGCAGACUUAGGGUGAGGAGAGCCAGUGAACAGAGGGGAGCCCUAGUGGGAAAGGGGAAUCGGGGCCGAAGGGGAGAAGGAGCCCCGGGCAGGUUUGGGGCGGCCGCUCAGGGGCCG
rnacentral:lncRNA from 1 species